UUCAAUCCUACACGUUAUUGUACUACAGUACAGUAGGUGGCGGUAUACUGUAGUAUGCUGUUCAUGUCCGCAUCGUCAUACGCGCCAGCACCCCUGAAAGACUGCAGGAACAGAAACCCCUGGAAAGAUGAGUUCCCUAUUAAAGAGAGGCUUGAUGCUGUUUACUCCACACUCUUAGGCUGAUUUUGGAUUAUUUGUCUGUGAAGACACAGUAGUUCAGUUUCUGAAUCCCAUCAAGAAUGAAGACCUGCAGGCCACCAUAUUGAGCUGCAGGGUCUGAUGUCAUAAUAUGGCGCUUUUCCAAUGUAGGGUACAACUUGGCUCGGCACAAUGCAGCUCAUACCGCUUUCAUUGCUUUUCCAGUACAGUUUAGUAUCGCUUCAGAGUGGGUGAGAUUAUAGGCAGGGGUGCACAUAAGGGUGUGUAUGCGCGAUUAGAAACAAUUCCAGCGUAGCAACGUUGCUGAAAUUUUGUUACAUAGUUAGCUAAUUUACUGCAACAUAAGGGAUUUCAUAACAUCUCGAUCACUCCCCAGUGACUGGUCCCAGUAUAGGUCAUAAACCCCGCCUCCCCCAUGUUAUUUAAUGGGACUUGAGACCAAGCUGUUUUUUGUCAUUUACUGUAGGUUUUAUCAUGCUGAUGUAAAUUCAAGUGUUUGUUUUUAAAAUAAGUUUGUUUUUAGUUAGUUAGUUAAUGCUAUAAAACGGUGUUGUCACGUCAUGAUUGACAGCUGUGUAUGCACAUUCUGGGAGAGUGAGGGCGGGGCCUUGAUUUCGCGGCUUUACAUCCUGCUCACUACUGUGCAGGACUGGUCCCGAAAUUGCUACUGCGCAGACUCAAGACCCAAGAUGUCAGCGGCGACACUGGCGGCUUCAUUUUUUACCAAUGGAAGAGAGCAAGCUCUCCAGGUGCUCCUUUUAGAACCAGGACAAAAAAAGUUAUGUGCACCUCUGAUUAUAGGCUUAUUGUUACAGUUGCGUCCCCUCUA